rnacentral:rRNA from 1 species
AUGGGCCGUGCCCUUCUUUCUCGUGGCCCCUCCUUAUCUUUAUCUGCUGCAGGGGUGAGGCGGAUGCAAAGGAUCAACAUUAAGAUACGACUAUGCCUCUAUAUAAACACCACCAAACUAAAGGAGAUCUUUGCAGCGAAGGAGCACACCAGCAACAAGGCAAACACAAGUAGUCGAUCUCUUCUCCUCAUGGCACAUGUCAAACAGAGCGACACAAGGAGGACCGUGGCCAUCACUUUCCUGGUCCUUACGAUGAUGUUUGCUUCCAUUUUGCCACCCUGCCAUGCAGUCCAGAUUGUGGACGAGAAAUGUGUGUCUUUGCAAGGAUGCACCACAACUCAUUGCAAAGAUGAAUGCAUGCGACUAAUCGGGCACCAACGUCGCUGGGACUGGACUUGCAGAGAGGUUAAUACGUGUUGCUGCACAAAAUACGGGAAAGCGCCAUUUUGUUCGUGGCUCCAUGAUAUUUAUAUGUCCCUGGUUGAUCUACCGGUGUGUGGUGUGGUCGGACGAAGAAUUCGAGCCGUCGGAGCUCGGGUUAGCUUUCAGUUACCACUAGUGGAGUUGACUGGGGAAAGGCAGGCGGGGCAGAGGAAAGUGCGGACGGAACACGAGAGAGCGGAUCCUCCCCCGGCGCCGGCGGGCACCGCCGGAGAAGACGGACGUCCGCAGCAGCCCAUCCGGCACCGCGCAUCGCCGUCUCCUUCCCCAUCCGCAAGGCAAGGCCUCUCCUCUCCUCCGCCCAUCUGCCUCUGCGCCAGCACAACCCUAGGUUCUUAUUACUGGUGCAUGACAAGUUUGUUUGAUAGAGCUUGCCGUCAGCAGCGCAUCAUGCAAAACCCCAGCAAACUGUCCGCCGUCUCUCUAGCCAGACCCCCUGCUUUUUCCGGGCUCCAAGGUUGGGCUGACCUCCCAGAUGGCUUGCUCCAUUCCAUCGUUGCUCGGUUGGCCUCUGUCCGAGACAUUCUUGGCUUUGCUGCAACAUGCCCCUCUUGGCGUGCUGCGUUUUCCUACCCAUCCAAAUCUACGUUCCGCACAAAAUGUCCGCCUCUCCUCAUCCAACCCAAUGUUCGUGUACAAGGUCCUCUUCUUCCUUCUACUAAUGGUUGCCGUGAUAUGUACACAUGUAAGGUUAUUGAUCCAGCCAACCUGAAAGUCGCCCUUCAUUGCCAGAUUCCUCAAGAAACCCUGGAGAAGAUGACAUGUAUCGGCUCUUCCUAUGGUAAUCUCAUCUACUACCGCAAUCGGUAUUGUCGCAUGGUCGAUGUGUUCACAGGUGUGGAGGUUUCAGCUCCACGUCUCCCACCCAUUGCCAAGGGCCCAAAAUUUUGGCUGUAUGGCAUUUUAACAGCCCCCUUGGCAUCACACAAAUCACAUCUCCUUGUCAGCACCAAGUUCUACCUGUUUGAUUGGCCUAUCGGAAGCAACUCUUGGUCCCAAGUCCAGCUUCCUUAUAUGUUGAAAACGGACCAGAUUGUGGAAUUCAAUGGUCAGUUCAUUCUCUCGAAUGGCAAUGGGCGGUUCUACUCCGUGCAGCUGGCCCCGCAGCUUGGCCUGCAGGAGAUAACAACCGACAAGCAGGGCUGGAGUCAAGAACCUCGUGAUAUGACAGAGGUGCUGGUUUGUGGUGACAUGCUUAUCGUUCUCAUUCCCCUUGCUUAUGAGCUCUACCGCCUUGACUUGUCGACCAAGCCCACGACAGUGAUGACCUUGGAGAAGCUGGACGACUGGGCACUCUUUAUCCAGGCGGAAGAAAAGGGCACACCACUUUCGUGCAUGAGUCCGGAACAAUGGGGAGGAAGGAGCAACAGCUGGUACUACGCCGACGAUGGAUCUCUGCCUUGGACCCGGCCUUGGACUCUAGACGGUCCGUUUCAUGAGCCGGACCCUGUGCAGGAUGCGCCUCCCGUCGAUCCUGACGUGGGAAGCCAGGAUGGAUGGGGAGCGUGGAGCAACACCUCGCACUCUGCCGUCCUCGACUCUUGGUAUCUACACGAGCCGGAUCAUGUUUCGGAACCCGUGCAGGAGACACCAUCUGGCGAACCCGUCCCGGACGCGUGGGGAGCCAGUGCAGUUAGCUUUGCUGCCCUUGAGCCUUGGGAUCCACACGAGCCGGAUCAUGUGUCAGGACCCGUGCAGGACACACAAUCUGACGAAACCGGCGUGGAUGGGUGGGGAGGCAGUGCAGACAACUUUGCCUAUUGGCAUUCCCAUGAAAAGGAAGGUUUGCCGAUCUGGCUGUACCCAAGCAUGUUCUACUAUGAUGUACGGGAGCAAACAAUAACUCUGUUCUACUCUAUUGGUGCGCAACGUGUGCUCCCUCCUGCUUAUGUGGUUAGUUUGCUGGAGUUGCACACGGAUGAUGGAUCGGACAAGAUGUGGCUUAAUUAG